GCCCGACUAGCUCACCGGUAGAGCGCCUCACUAGUAUGAUCUCCUGUCCCGUCCGAACUUCAGAGGUCCUGGCCUAAAGGCGAUACAUACCCCGUAAUGAGGAGGCAACAGGUUCGACUCCUGUGUUGGGCA